CCUACGGGUGGCAGCAGUGAGGAAUAUUGGUCAAUGGCCGGAAGGCUGAACCAGCCAUGCCGCGUGAAGGUCAGUGCCCUAUGGGCGUUAAACUUCUUUUGUGCGGGAGCAAUAAUGGUCACGUGUGGCCAGACGAGAGUACCGUACGAAUAAGCAUCGGCUAACUCCGUGCCAGCAGCCGCCGGUAUACGGGGGAUGCACGCGUUAUCCGGAUUUUUUGGGUUUAAAGGGUGCGGAGGCUGUGAAGUAAGUCAGCGGUGAAAUGCCCCCGGUCAACGGGGUGAAGUGCCAUUGAUACUGCCUUGCUGGAGUGCGGAUGCCGUGGGAGGAAUGUGUGGUGUAGCGGUGAAAUGCAUAGAUAUCACACAGAACACCGAUUGCGAAGGCAUCUCACGAAUCCGCGAUUGACGCUGAUGCACGAAAGCGUGGGUAUCAAACAGGAUUAGAUACCCGUGUAGUC
rnacentral:rRNA from 1 species